rnacentral:misc_RNA from 1 species
UAAAAGGCCGAGCGGAGAGAACGUGCACUUCGUACCCCUCUGCUUUCUCUCUGUCUUCCGCACACACGCACGCACGCACGCAACCUCCUUCCUGUUUCGUUCUCUCUCACUACCCGUGUGCGCCGUCAUCUCUUCUGCCGUGGAAGCGCACCGCUCUGCACCUCUCGCACUCCUCUCGCGUCCACGCCCAUCUGCGCAGAUGGAGCGCGGUCGCUCCUGCAGAUGCUGCGGGUGCACGAUGCAGUUCUGCCCGUGCUGCGGCGCCGCGCUCGCUGGAAAGCGCGACGGCGCUGUCAAGGGCCACAGCAACGGUAACGACGGCGGCCUAUUGUCUUGUAACUCAUCGUUGCGUCCUCACUCAGCGGCUGAACGCGCCGUAGGCAGUGGUGCGUCAGUGCCGUGGAGUCAUGGCACUGCCGCCUGGCGGAAGCGACUUCCGCGUCGUCCCGUCAGCGCCUAUGAGGUGUACCUGGCAGCAGUCCAUGGUGUCGUCGCCGACGAGGGCGGCAAGGAGGCGGCGGCCGCCUCAAGAACCCUCGCAGACCCACGGCCGGCUAUGGCGGCAGCAGAAGGCGGGCAGCGCAGUGAUGAGCAGGUGCGCGCUGCUGCUUUGUCCUGGCUGCGCAUGACGCCUGCGGAGAAGCGUGUCUACGAGGAGGAGGCUCAUUCGUGGCAGACACGACUGGGAGCACUGAGCACCGUUCCACCCUCAGCGCACAACUUGGGGGAGGACUCCUCAUCGGCCGCCGCGCUGCCUGACGCGCUUCCUUCGGUGGAACGGCCGUUGUCACAGCAGCAGCAUUCAUCGCAUCUCGUCGCACAGCGAUCAUCAAAGACGCCUGCCCCAGAGCGCCUGCCGCGCAGCAAGAGCAGUUUUGCACUGUUUCGCGCGCACAUGAAGGGGCGGCGCAAGAUGUGCAUGCGGGAGCUGUGCGCCGUGUGGCGGAAUAUGUCCGCGGAAGAGAAGGCGCCGUAUGACGCGGCGGCAGCGAGUAAGCGCACCGAGCAGUUUCUCUCACAGACGCUGUCAGCACCGGACAGCCAGUCGUAGAACAAGCACACACACGCAUACACGGCAGCAACGCUCAGAAACGAAAAGGAGAACAGAGAGACCUCUAAAGAAUAAGGGAGGUGAGACUGCUGGCAUCAACCCCCUCUUACUGCUGCUCCUUUACAAGCACAUAUAUAUGAAAGCUCUACACGUCGGCACCCUCGUGGCCCUCCUGACGUGCCCUGCUCUUGCACACCGUAACCCAUUCAUCUGUAUCGUAGUCUCGUAGGCGCGCAAGCAGCAUAUGGGCUCUUGGUGUGCCUGCGUAAGCGGUGUGCAGGCGUGCCUGUGAGCGGCAUCCGCUCUCCUUUGCCUCUUGCUGACG